UCAAAUCUUCUUAGCUCAGCUUCAGGUCUUCCACCCUACGGUCCUGAAAAUUUAAGCCCACUAUGGGGUGUGAUAUAAAUCUCAGCAAGUUCACGCUCUAAACCCUGAUUAGGAGGGUAAUACGCCUAGAAGCGUCCUAAUCACACAACCACACAAUUAGAGCAGAGAACUUACCUCAUCUCAGUUUCUUUUUAUAUGUCAGCACAGUUCAUAUCACAACCAUAUGCAUAUAGCAAUUUCACACAUCAAUUGGAACGUCUAAAUCAGUCACUGUUCACAUGAGCAAGAGUUACCGACACACGUCAGUCCAUCAAUUCAAUCAUAGGAGUUCUGAUUAUAUGGCCAAAUCGUUAUGGCACAUCUCAUUCCAUGCCACACAAUUUUAUUUCAUGAUCCGACGUAUCAAUUUCACUCAAUAUGCGUUCCAAUUAAUUACUACUACCCACACAGGUAGUUUUACCUGACACACACCGGUUCUCUAUCCACCGACACACAUUGGGGAUAGGUGAUGUUCACCAACACCCAUCGGGAGUGGGUUCUCUUAUCCUUUAAUGUCUACCAACACACACCGAGGACGGGUUCUCUUAACCUUUAACGUCCACCGACACACACCGGGAACGGUUCUCUUAACCUUUAACGUCCACCGACACACACCGAGGACAGUUCUCUUAACUUUUAACGUUCAUUGACACACACACCAGGGACGGUUAUCUUAAUCAGCACACGAUCAUUCAAUUUUGACCACGGACACCAUGCAUUGUAUUUAAAUACUUCAAUUAAAAUGGUGAAUCUGGCCUAUUUUCUAAGUAUUAAAAGUACACGGUAAAAUACUCGUUUGUGGGUACACGGUCAACUCAAUCCAGAAUAAGUGAUAUCCUCCAAUUUGAAAUCCUACUAUUUUAUAUAGUGCGUAAAACUAUUUUCAGUGUUAAAAUCCGAUAUCCGGAAUUUUCUAAAUAAAUAUCAAAAUUCACAAUUUUUGGAAUUAAAUACUCAAAAUUCCAAUCAGCACUUAAUUUGCACAAAUUAGCACCAGUUGCAGAAACUAACCAUAUCAUUGUAAUCAACAUGAAAUUCCGGUCACUAGCUAUCCCGGUCUAAGGAAAAAUUUAAUAAUUAAAUAAUUUCUAAAAUUAAUUAAAUAAUUCAAUUUAAAUGCUAAAAAUACCAACAUAGGCCGAAAUUGCUAAAUUAAAUACCGAAACGGGCCCGGAAAAUUCCUGAACCAAUCUAGAUAAAUAAUACGAUUUAUCUAGGCCAUAGUUAAUCUAAUCUAACCACCUAACAUGCAUAAUUAACUAAUUAAAUUGCUAAUCUAAUCUAACUAACUACCUAAUCCCUAAUUAAUGUAACUAAAUACCCCUUAAACAUCAUUAACCUACUAAGAAGAGUUUAGUGCAUAAACUCACCGGUUUGUUGCGGAAACCGGUUCACCGCGAUGACGGCGUGACGGCGGCUGAAACUUGGGUUUGCGGCGGCGUCUACACACUUGAACCGGGCCUAAAAUUGGCCCAACAAAUCUCAGCCCAAUCUGAGAUUUGUUAUUGAGUUGGGCUGGGCUUGCUUUGCGGGCUUGGGCUGCUGAUUUGGACUGAAGACACAAGCUUCAAGUGGGUUGGAUUGCGACUGAAAUCCACUUGGGCUGCUGGCAUGAGCGGGCUGGAAAUUUCGUGGGUCUCUGCUGGGGUUUUGGGCUGAAGCUUGGGCCGAACUGCUGCUGUGAAGAUGGGCCGAAGAAAACGCGCGUGCUUCAAAUGACGUGGCUUCGAUGGGUCGUGAGCUGAGAAGUCCGAAGCAGCGAAGGAAGAGCUACUUCGGUUGGGGGACGUGCGGGCGCUGGCAGCUUGAAGUGAAGGCUCGGUGGAUGGAGAUGGCACACGGCAGCAAGCUGGGAGAUUCGGUGGUCUUCAGCUGGGAAGUUUUGACCGAACAAAACGCCACGUGAAGCUGGACUUCGGUGGAGAGCUUCGGGCUUCGCUGGCAGCUUGAGAUCGGUGGUGCUUCGGUGGAGUCUUCGAGUGGCUGAAGUCCACGGGUGUUAAUGCGCUGAGGAAAUCGAGCAGAUAGACCUCGGUGGACGCUGGAUACGUGGAGAUUUGUGGUCAACGUUGGGGAGAGCUUCACCGAUUGUUGACUCAAUUGGGAACAGAACUUGGUAGAGGAUGAGUGGCUUCGGUUCGGUGGGAAGCUACUCGGUCUUCGUUGAAGAUGGUUGACCGAACAAACAAGAGACAAGGUGAUGGGGCGGCAGAGAGAGAGAGGCUUCGGGUAAAGAGCAAAUGGCAGAAUGAAAUUGCAAGGGGAAAUGAAAUAGAAGAAGAGCAGAGAGGGAUGGUCGAUGGAGGGAAUGCACGAAGGAGGAGAGAGAGGAUGGAUGAGGAAGAGAGAUGAAGCAAAAG
rnacentral:lncRNA from 1 species